UGGGGAAUAUUGCACAAUGGGGGAAACCCUGAUGCAGCGACGCCGCGUGAGCGAUGAAGGCUUUCGAGUAGUAAAGCUCUGUCCUAUGGGAAGAUAAUGACGGUACCUAACCAGAAAGCCACGGCUAACUACGUGCCAGCAGCCGCGGUAAUACGUAGGUGGCAAGCGUUGUCCGGAAUUAUUGGGCGUAAAGCGCGCGCAGGUGGUUUAGAAAGUCUGAUGUGAAAGCCCACGGCUCAACCGUGGAGGGUCAUUGGAAACUAAUAAACUUGAGUGCAGGAGAGAAAAGUGGAAUUCCUAGUGUAGCGGUGAAAUGCGUAGAGAUUAGGAGGAACACCGGUGGCGAAAGCGGCUUUUUGGCCUGCAACUGACACUGAGGCGCGAAAGCGUGGGGAGCAAACAGG
rnacentral:rRNA from 1 species